UCAAAAAGCAAAAGACUACAUGGACAUG
rnacentral:piRNA from 1 species